GAUUAAACUUUUCCUGACACAUUGUGGACCUUCUGGUGCAUGGGGGAGUCCUCUGCGAGAGAUCCAUAUGCCAAUCAAGGUAUCUUCCAUCAGAUGGCGAGUGCCCCUUGAGGUACUUCAACUCUGUAUUUUUAUGGCUACAGAAAUAUGAUGUCCAUGGUUACUACCUUGGCUGUCCAUAAUGUACCACUGUGGUAAAGACACUAAAAUUGAAAUGAUAAAAAAAGACUUUCAAACAAUAUGGUCCAAAGUAACAGAAUAUCCUUUGCCUUUUCCAUAUAAGUCAGGGACCAUCAAGCAAAGCAAAGUCUUUGGAUACACUUGAUUCUAGCAACAAGGGGGAAUGAGGAGUGAGAAAUAAGAUGAUACAGAUGUUUGUCAUAACCUAUAGUGGUGAGAGGAGUAGGCCUCUCAUUGAUAGGUUUGGCUGGUCCAAUGUAACAAGGUAUGGUCUCCUCACUUUUAGCUUCUAGCAUGCGAUCCAGCCCUGGGCUGAUACAGAGCAGAUCUCCUGAUGCAAUUUGGGAGUCUACAGAAAAGAGAAUGAUGGCAAUAAAAGCAAUAUUGACAGAUGCAAUUUCUUAUCCAGUGCUCCUUAAGGUACUCCAACUGAGUCCAUUUGGGAGUAGUGAGGUAUGGUGUCAAUAUGAAGUCAAAAAGUCUUGGUGG
rnacentral:lncRNA from 1 species